GUGCUUGCUUGGGCAGCACAUAUACUAAAAUUGGAACAAGAAGAUUAGCAUGGCCCCAUGCACAAGGAUGACACGCAAAUUUGUAAAGUGUUCCAUAUUUGU
ensembl:snRNA U6 U6 spliceosomal RNA